rnacentral:lncRNA from 1 species
CGAGAGAGUCCACAGGCAUGAUUUGACAGGAUAAUGCCCUCACUUGAUAAAAGGAGAGACUCUCUGUCAGCUGCCCGCAUCCUCCCUGAAGCUCUGGAAUCUGACUUCAUGGAGCAUUUGAGCAGCUAAGCUUUUCCUGACCCCCUCCCUCCCACCACCACUCCCGCCUUCCCCCAGUUGCUGAGCAUAAUUGAGAAUUAAUUGCAUGUCUGCUUAUUAUUUUGCUUACUUAAUUUGGUCUAAACGUUGUUCACACUCCAGACUUAAGGCCUGGAAGUGGCUGUCUUCAGGACCUGAUCUCUCCAAGACAGGCGCUCCAGUGGAUCUGAGUUAGAUCGGUGUAUAGAUCAGAGUUCCUAAGAAGCAAUGGACAAAGACCCAGAGUCUGUGCUGGGGGCCUUGGAAGGCUCUAAACCCUGAGCAGCAGUUUACAGAAGAGGCGAACAAUAUGGAUAUGGAGACAAUCUCUGAGACUUGGGAGUGCUCUCCUGUAGGAUCCAAGACUUCUCAUCUUUCCGAUGCGAACUGAAUUAUGCUAGCAUGUCAACCAGGACAUUUCAGAGAAGCAUCGAACAGAAACGUGUUAGUAAACCUCUUACCAGAACACCCUCACUAUCGAUUUUUUUUUGUCACUAAAACACAAACCAGCAUGGGACAUUAAACAGGACCUUUGGUAUUUGGUGUUGGGAAAAUGCCCCCUUGGAUCUAGAGCUCUUUAGGAGUAAUGGCUUCCCGAAAAGAACUAUAGAGAAAAAGAAGGCAGAAUAACCCAGGUGCCUGAGCAUCUUUGAGGAGGUAAGGAAAACUCUUUACUCUUUGCUGUUUGUGAGCUCUGAAUCACCAAUUGUUUGCUAGUCAGGCUUCCCCAUUUGCCAGGAAGGAUCAAUAAUGUAAUUGGAAUGACCCUGCACUCAACUGUCCCUGCCUUCUGAUGCCCGCCUCCCCUCUCUGAUCAGAAGGCCUCCUCACUGGGGACACUGAAAGCUGAAUAGUUCAGGGACAGAGCGAGGCAUUACUGCAUUCCUGUCCAGUGAAAGGCAGACUCUCUGGAGAGCCUUUCCUCUGUUUUGUUUUGUGUGUUUUCAAGGAGUCUGGAGAGGGUGUUUAUGUCGUGGUGCACGUUCCCCAUUUGGCAUCUCGAUGGCGAAGCAGAGAGCUUUCUUGUUGUCCAUGUCCUCUGUGAUUUGAACUUGUGAUGAUUCUUCAGCUAGCUCUGUCCUUCAUCUAGAAAAUUAGUGUUGCAUUAUGAAGCCCAAAAGAGUUUUCCUAGCCACCACAUAGCAGUACGUAUAAUAACUUAAAUGUUCUACAGAAAAGGCAUUCCCCCAGCGUGGGUGAGUGGAAGAAUAGGCUCAUCAAGUUGUUCAGGCUUUGCAGAUUAGAGUUCCAGUUUCGUGAAAUCUCCCAUGGUUCAUACCUGGAAUCAGCUCCAAAACAUUUUCGAAAUUGGAACACUGAGCAUUCUCUAUGGGCUUGCAGUCAUUUCAAAAUAAUAUCCCUUAAUUAUGUGUCAUGGAUUGUUUGAUGAGUAUCUGCUGGGUUUGGCAUAUGUCAUUAGCCAUGAACAAUUGUACCUGGCUGUUUUUAAUUAUACCAGCUUUAUGCUUACAGUAGCCAUGGGAGGAAAACAAAAGAUUUUGCUGAGCGGGAGCAUUUUGCUUUUUAAAAAAUAUUUAUUUUGUUUUUGAUGCUCCUGCAGCCAAUCCACUCUUGCUAGGCAGUCCACUCUUCAGUUCAGUAUGGCCUUGAACUCAUGUCCCCCUGCCUUAGACUUUAGGGUGCUUGGGUCACACAUAUCUCCCUUUAAAGUUUUAUCUAUCUAUCUAUCUAUCUAUCUAUCUAUCUAUCUAUCUAUCUAUCUAUCUAUCUAUCUAUCUAUCUAUCUAUCUAUCAUACCUAUCUAUCUAUCUAUCUAUCUAUCUAUCUAUCUAUCUAUCCAACAUCUAUCUAUAUCUUAUCUAUCCCUAUCUACCUAUCUAUUUAUCUACCUAUUAUCUAUCAUCUAUCUACCUAUGCCCCCUCCUCCCCCUGAAAGAUUUUUUUCUUCUACAGCAGGCUAUGCUGCUCAGUCUAAUCCCCUACUUCUGCAUUUCCCCAUCCCUGGCUGCUGUUACUUUCUCCAUGAAAAAUUGUGAAAGGUCUAAGCCAAUUAAGAUCAUUUGAUUUCCUCGUCAGCAAUUGGUUCAAAGAUGUCCAUGUGACACAGUUCUACCCAAUGAGAUGUGAAAGAAGCUUGUCUGGCAUGUUUCUGGGAAUGGCUUCUUGGCUGAUGGAACUAGGUCCUUAGAAAAAUGAUCUCAGCCAGGCAGGCUGUGGUGGCACACUCCUCUAAUCUCACUGGGAGUGAGGGAGGUGGGAGAGGGGCAAGGGGCGAGGGGCAAGGGGCGAGGUGCAAGGGGCGAGGGGAGGAGAGGAUAGAGGGGAGAGGGGACAGGGGAGAGGGAGAGGGAGAGGGAGAGGGAGAGACUCUGCAUUUCCCACCCAAUAUCAAUCAGUACUGUCGAGGUCUAUGACAGUACUAACUGAGAGACUUAGCUUCUGAGAGGAACUAGUUGGUGACUACAGAGGGUACAGCUGAAAGAAGGACUCAACCGGGGUCUUUGGUCCUCCUUAG